rfam:Ostreococcus tauri virus 2, complete genome
CCAGCCUUAGCUCAGUUGGAAGAGCAACUGACUGUAGUGCGUUAAAUAGCACUGUUUGAAAUCACUGUUAUCAGUGGGUCACUGGUUCGAAUCCGGUAGGCUGGA